UGACGUUGCGACGAAUCGAGAAAAAUCCAUCCAACAUGGCGGCUCUUGCAAGCGAAGGGAUUCCACGCAUGGUUUAACUUGGUGAAGCUGGUGCAUAGCAGUGAGACUCCUCAAUAUUCAAGGGUGAAGCUGGUGCAUAGCAGUGAGACUCAAGAUUCAAGGAAGUUGAGAAAAGUGAGAAGAACCUCAUCUUGAUAGAAAAGCUCAUGCAGACGACUUUUGCCCUUCGUUGCCAGGAGAUCGUUCAGGAAAAUCCCUUGGUCGGGGACUUUUUAGAGAAAUGGCUGGCCCUCCGGAUGGAAUCACAGGUUUGUGCCGAGUUUCACCGAAUCACAAACGCCAACCUACGGAACCAGUUAUUUUCUGAACUAGACGGACACACCCUGAGGCCCUGCGUGAAAUCCUAAGGAUUUGUGAUCUCCAGGAAGUACAGGAUGUCCACAUGAAACGCAAUGCAGCCCUUCGAGCCCUCCCAUUAUACCUGCGUGAGGAGGACCCACAGUUCUUCAAGUCUUGGAGCGCAGAGGAGGUGGACCGGCCAGACAUCACCAACACACCGGUUGCUAUUGUCAGCAUGGUCACGAGGGCACUCCAAUUCAAGUUGAUCUCAGUCCGGCAAGUGCUGCUAUUCUGGUGGAAGGUGAUUUCGUCAUCAGCAAUAUCCGCAGGAUGGCGGAUUCCUUUGCAUUGUUGUUUGGCUUGAUGUACGUGUUACAUUUGGACUACCCCAAGAAACUCAUCAACACUUUCACUUUCAUACAGAAAGUGCUGAUGGGCCUUGAUGAUGGUAAACCACUGAAGCCCUGCAUACUCAAUCUAAAAAAAUGACCUGUUACUAAAAAAGUAGGCCGUGUUACAGGUUGAAACUUUGCACAUGCCAAUGUUUGUUUUGCACAGUUAAAGGUGGGGUAGGUAAGUUUGAGAAACCGGCUCGAGAUACACUUUUUGUUAUAUUCCAUGGAAUGCUCUUAACAUCCCGAUAGCAAUGAAUAUCUUAAGUGCUUUGACAAAAAAUCCAUAAAGAAGUGUCAUCUGUGGAAG